GCGACCGCUGCCCUAUGCGUCUUCUUCCUCGAUUCCUCGCGGGGGUAACGACCCGCCCGAGCUGCCCGCCGAACUUCGCGCCAGCUAGGUUCUGCAACCCUCCUUUGCCCUGCGCCUAUAAUACCCGAGCAGUCGUUCCCCUUCUCCUCUCUGUUCGUCCCAUCAAUUACGCCGCCGCUAGUGUGCAUCGAUUAGGAGAAUGCCGUGAGUGAAGCCGUCGCUUACCAAAUCCAAAUUGCGCCGCCGCCAUAGUGGCAACUCCGUUUUGCCUGCGCUAACACUUUGGGCAGUGCUGGUCGCGUGGAAGGCAGUGGGUGCCUCGUCUGGGUGGAUUCACGCUCUGUGCCGCCGGAAUCGCACGCCGCAGCUCCACGGUCGCCGCAGGAUCACACGUCUCCGUGGGCAGGGAUCUCGACGCAUCGACCACCGGUAAGCUACCUUCGAGCAAGUUCGUACUGCCCUGCUAUCUGUAAAUCGCACGUUAGAUCACGGAAUCGGGUACCGGGGCGCCGAUCUUGACCUCGCCGGCGUGCGCGCCGCCACGGCUUUUCCCCGCCGCCACCAUGGUUCUGUGUUGGGGAUGACACUCGUGCGCCGUCGGAUCGGCGAUGGACGUUGCAGAUAGACCCGAUGUCGCGUGUUAUGUAGGCCGUAGAUUUGGAUUUCGGUGGCCAGGAUUAAAAGUGACUUACCCCUUCUCUGCAUUUGAUCCGAGUCGUCGAUCCUCCAUCGUAUGCAUCAGAUUAGAUUUAGGUUCUUUAAAUCGUGACCGUGGGAUCCGAUCGGGCGGCUGAGAUCCGUGGAUACCCCUUCGCGGGUGCAUUUUGCAUAAGAGACCUUGGGUUAUUAGAAAACCAACCCUCAGUCCACCCUGUAUAGUGCGCUGAGUCUUAGAAAUUCUUUCGCGAAAGCCCCUGCGCUUUACAGAAAAUGUGGCCUAGUCCAGAGGAUUAUAAAAUCAGAGAAUUGAAUUUAGAAAUAGAUUUUUAAUAUUAAAUUAAUGACAGAAACUUGUUUAAUUCAUAGAAAAUGCAUAUGAACUCCAAAUUAGACCAUUCCAGUUCCUAAAUUUUCAUAAAAUUAUUGUCGAUCUUUUUGUGCCACUGUUUUGGCAUGAAAAGCACAUUAGAAUUAUUCUAGUACUUAAUCUUGUAUUAAGCACAUAAAACAUUAGAAAAUCCAUAACUUAAAAUCUAUACCUCCAAAUUUAAUGAUUCCAGUUCCUGUGAUCCUAUUUUAAUGUCUAGUUUAUUACUGUUUAUUUUAUUUGCAUGUUUGAUGUUUAAAAUCUAUACCCUGCCUCGCUUUCUAGGUAGAGGUGUAUGGGGUCUGAUCAACUCCGUGGCAAAUGGGUAACACGACUUGUGGGUAAAGAUGUGCAACCACUGCAGAGUGUAAAACUGGUAUACUAGCCGUGCUCACGGUCAUGAGCGGCUCGGACACUCACAUGAUUAAUUUAUGGAACUUAAACUUAAUCUAUCAUUUCAUUGCAUUUGGGAUUAUUUUAUUAUUACUUUUACUUAUUAUUAUAAUGGUUUGGUAUUUACUUGCACUUAGUAAUUGCUAAUAAAAUUUUGACCAACUUAAAAGCAAUGCUCAGCUUCAGCCUUAAAUCAUUGAUCAGCCUUACACUUCAUGAACUCCCACCUUUGGUGAGUUUAUGCCACAUUAUUCCCCACAACUUGUUGAGCGAUGAACGUAUGUGAGCUCACUCUUGCUGUCUCACACCCCCCUACAGGAGAAGAGCAGGUGGUUCAGGAGGAGCCACAAGGCGACGAGUAUGAUCUGAUCUAGGUGGCGUUUCUCAGUUGACAUUGGCGCCG
rnacentral:lncRNA from 1 species